CCAAUAACGUAUAUUAAAGUUGUUGCAGUUAAAAAGCUCGUAGUUGAACUUCGGGGUUCACCCAUUGGUCAGGCUUAAUUGUCUGUACUGGUGAGAUGAGUCUCUACCUUCUGAGGAACUUUCAUGCCAUUUAUUUGGUGUGGUUGGAAAUCAGGACUGUUACUUUGAAAAAAUUAGAGUGUUUAAAGCAGGCUAACGUCUGAAUACAUUAGCAUGGAAUAAUGAAAUAGGACGGAUUGAUUCUAUUUCGUUGGUUUCUAGGGUCACCGUAAUGAUUAAUAGGGAUAGUUGGGGGCAUUAGUAUUCAAUUGUCAGAGGUGAAAUUCUUGGAUUUAUUGAAGACUAACUACUGCGAAAGCAUUUGCCAAGGAUGUUUUCAUUAAUCAAGAACGAAAGUUAGGGGAUCGAAGACGAUCAGAUACCGUCGUAGUCUUAACCAUAAACUAUGCCGACUAGGGAUCGGACGCAGUUAAUUUUAUAAUGACGUGUUCGGCACCUUACG
rnacentral:rRNA from 1 species